rnacentral:sRNA from 18 species
ACCUGUUCCGGGCGCUGUGAGCGACGCCCGGGACGACAGAAACACAUGUGCCCAGGGAAGACAUGGGCACUCCAGGGCGUU